rnacentral:lncRNA from 1 species
AUGCUGGGACGCGGAGUCCGAUCGGUGCAACCCGGGAAGGGAGCGUCUAAGACUGCAACUCCCAGAAGGCACCGCGCGAGCGCGAGCCUCCGUUGGCUGCCUUCCCGAUAUCCUCAGCCAAUAAAUGUGUCAUCUGCUCCCGGUCCCGGGCACCGGAACAAAUCGGAACAGGGUCUAUUCGUGGGGGCGGAGCCUAUCGCAACCCUGGUCCUUUCCGCAGGUUCCGAGAUCAUGGCACCGCCCAGUGGGCGGGCCCUCAAGCUGAAAGCGAGGGGGUCUGCUGCCGGAAAGAGGCCAGAGCCUGUGGGCACCGGAGAGAUAUACUGGAAUCUGAUGCUAGUUAUACAUCUCUAAACUGUGAAGAGGAUGGUUUUCCAUCUGUACCAGUUCUGGGCCUGCUUCUUGAAUCCACACCUCUGCUCCACAUCACUGGCAAGCCAAUACCUGCAAGUUAUAUUCUCUGACUUUCCCGUGAGUAAGAAGAGGUGGGAGGGCAAGAGAGAGUGUCGGGAUGUUUCCCCCUCCUUCUCUGUUGGUGGCAUCUUCAACACCAGCUGCAAUUCUCCCAUGGUGCCAACUCCUGCAAGGCAGGCCUGCCACAGUUCCCUCUUCCUCUGGUUGACUCUGGGCCCUGGUUCCAGUAAUUACUACCUCUUCCCCUUGUUCCUGCCUCUGCAAGAAAUUUGAGAUUCUUCAAUCACAGUCAUAAAACAUCCUUAGCUUUUGGGUGGACAAUCAAGCUGAGUAGUUAGGAUAUGAGCUUGAAGUCUCCGUGCCCCUCAUGCUGCUCCAUCACACGGCCACUCAGCCUCUAGAGCCUUGCUUUCCAUGAGCACUUCAUUCCAGGUGACUGGGAUUUUCAUAAAUUGACUCCUUCACCAUUGUACGUCUGAUCUGUCAGAGUGCUCUGACUUAAAGCUGGGUUUUCACUGCCCUUGGUCCCAGUUCUGCUGCUGCUGGCCUUAGCUUGCACUGCCGAUCCCCCAGAAAUUAGAUGCUGGAGCUGCUGCUCCUUCUACCCUAUUACCAAAAAGGGAUUCUGCCUUAAGUUUCCCUUUCUUAUGGUAACCAGGAGUCUGAUUUGCUUUAUGCCAAUUCCUCACGUAGGAAUUGAGAAGGCCAACAUUGAUGGGAAACUCUGGGAUCCUUUCCUGCCUCAUUUGGUCAGGAAUCUGAGAUUUAAGACUGCCUGAGCUGGAAAGGUCCUCUGAGUUCAUCUAGGCCAACACCUUCCUUUUCAGAUGGGGAAACUGAGAUGCAAAGUGGGGAAAGGGAUUUUCCAGGGCCAAGCAGAGGGCAGGUGGCAGAGCUGGGAUUAGAACCCAGAGGCGUGGGCAGGCCAGGGGAGGGUGAUGGGAUGGAUGGAGUGUUGGUGGCAACAAGCAGCCUCCAUUCCUGACCAUUGGGAAGUAAGUGAAACUCUUAGAAUCCAAAAGACCCCUCCCACUAUCCCCUUGGCCCUCUGCACCCCACACACAUUCAGAAGGCCGGGGUCUCACCAUCACUUCUUUGGGAUGUGAUGUGAGGAGUUUAUAGAAGGAAGCUGAGGUCAGACUGAUUCUCAUGUGGUAGCUCUGGGAAGAAGGAGAAUGGAGAAAACAGCUUUGCAAAGAAGUGAAGUGAAGUGAGGUAAGGUGAGUUGGGGUGAAGUGAAAUAAUAAAAUAAAAUAUAAUAUAAAAUAAAAUGAAAUA